UGUUGUUUGAAAGAGAGGGCAGUUUUUCAUAAACACAAAUACAGGAUAUUUCCCUUUAAGAAAACUCAUGGAAUACAGCAUAUGUGAAAGCCUCAAUGCCUUGUCUUGUGAGAAUGCAAACCAAAGCCAGUCACACGGAUGUACAUGUUGGGGAAAAAUCACAGCGAAAUCAGAAACAGCUGUCUCCAUAAUUGCUUGUGUUACAUGGAGGAAAUUGAAAUGUAUGUAUAUUUUAAAAUGAGAAGAGUUGUUUUCACAACUCUAAUCUAAAGUUGUUUGGUGGUUCACAGGAUCGUUUUGAAAACUGAAUGGGAACCGGGGCAUCUCUUUGUCUGCAACCUUAUCAGCUGUCUCCUCUGUAAGCUCCUCAAUUAGUGAGCUACUGCAGAGAAGUGAGAAAAGGACCAUCCGUGGAAUGGCAUUCCUGAUAAAGAGCAGCAUUUUGUUGGUCUCCUCCACUUCCAGCGAUUGAUGAAACUUAUCUUGAAUUUGCUUCAGUCCACUUUAAAGCUUGUGGUGGUGACUGCUGAAAUACUUUGUAAUCCCUACCUGCUUAUUCUUAGAUUAUGAUGGAAAAUGUGCUGACCAGCCUUUGCUUUCGUUUUGUCAACUACAACCAAAAGGAGAUACUGGAAUACUUGUUCAAGCUGUUCUAAGGCCUCCUUGAACUGUAGAUGAGAAGUGUGUGACUAGUCUCAUUCACACCAGCUGAGGACUGAGAGCUCCCCAGGAAUUUUUCUUAAAAUAAACCAAAAGCCAACAACACUGUCUUCAAUGGAGAGAUGCGUUGUAGAGAAAACGGAUAUUCAGUGAUAGAAAAUGAAUCAGAAGAACGAACUUCAGAAAGGGUGGGAAGGACGGGAGAGAAAAAUGAAGUGAACUUUAAGGGGACUAAACAGAUGCCCUCCGCAAACAGCAAUGUGUUACUUACGGAUUUAGAAAGCUGGGAAGCCUUCCACUUCAGAGAGGUGCUAAGAGAAGGAAGGUGAAGUUAAGAGAAGAAAAAAAUGGAGGAAUUUCAUGAACAUACUUAUCAUCUUUCCUUUACACAGAAACUGUUGGGCCAUUUAUUAUGACUGCGCUGUCCACACAAGCUGAGGUGACAAAAUGUACUCUCCCAGCUUACAGGAUUUUGUACCUCAUUGGGAUGAGGCUGGUAAUGCCGCAGAAGUGAAAAACCCUGGUCAUACAGACCUCUCCCUUCUUCCUUGCUCUUGCUCAUUAGCUCAAUAAAGCACAGAAUGUUUCAACA
rnacentral:lncRNA from 1 species